rnacentral:rRNA from 1 species
UACGUAGGGUGCAAGCGUUGUCCGGAAUUAUUGGGCGUAAAGAGCUCGUAGGCGGUCUGUCGCGUCGGAUGUGAAAACCCGCGGCUUAACCGCGGGCUUGCAGUUGAUACGGGCAGGCUGGAGUUCGGUAGGGGAGACUGGAAUUCCUGGUGUAGCGGUGAAAUGCGCAGAUAUCAGGAGGAACACCGGUGGCGAAGGCGGGUCUCUGGGCCGAUACUGACGCUGAGGAGCGAAAGCGUGGGGAGCGAACAGG